GGGGGUGCGUAAAAAGCAAAGCUCUAUUUGAGCGCCAGAUGUGUUGUGAUGGAGUGGCGUUUGCAUGAAGAGGAUUGACGUUAAACCUCAGGGUGAAAAUGUUCUGCAGCCUUUGAGUCCUGUGCAUUCAAGAAGAUCAGAGGUUUAACUUUUGCAGCACUGUUACCCACAUCCCCCCUUCUUUUCCCCUCUUCCUCCCUUUCGGUUCAUCCUUCCUUUCUGGGAACACAGAAGUUUAAGGGGGAAAAACAAGUGAGUGGAUCCACGGCGCAGGUCUGACCUCCAUACUGGAACUUUAGCAGCGUGUUGCUUUAGAGUCUUCGGGGUGGGUGUGAGUAUGUCACAGUAUACACCACUGCAGUUCAACUGCUGAAGGAAACAUGAAUCCUGCAUAAAAUGUUAGAUUUGAACAGUUUAGAGUAGUGUUAGUAGUUUAAAGCUUGCCAUAAUUUUAAAGCAUUUUUUGUAUUAAUUAGAAAUGCUUUGGAUGAAAACUUUGGAAUAUUUGAAAACAGGUUUUGUGCUUACAGAAGAUGGGAGGUUUGCUGCUGAAGCUCUGGAGAUGACAGCACUGAGAAACAGGCUGCACACAUGUCACAUGCUGAGCAUCAUGAACACCAGCAGCUUUGGAUCUAAUUUCACCUUCCUGACAGAAAACAUCACUCAAACCAGCCUGACAACCAUCACAUCUCCUAAACUCCCGCGUUCUCCAUCCCUGCCCUCUGACCUCCAUGAUCCAGAAUUCACUAUCAUGGUGGUGCUGGGCUUGUCGCUGCUGCUUGCAGGAAUAGCAGCGUGCCUGGCAGUGCGGCGGCGUUCUGAACAGGAGGAGGACUACGAGGGGAGCUGUGCCCCAGGGGAGCGCUUAACUCGCGGAAGAAACUUGUCUACUGAGCCGCAGCUGAAGGUGUGGAGGAGACUGGGCUCAUAUCGGCGGUCCUAUAACAUGUCUUUCAGGCGGCCGCCUUAUCGCAGGCCGCAACCAGCUGACAGGACACACCCCCUGCAGCCUCCAGCAUCACAGGCAGAGGGCAGCGUGGAGCCCCAGCUUACUGCCCCCUGUCUGUUUGACUAUGUCACUGAAAUUUGACUCAAAACCAGACUGAAGACUACGGGUUGUUGCACUGUACAUUCUAUGGUUUUUACAGCCUAAAAACAGUAAUAAGGUUGUGAAAAAUGACUUUUUACUGUUUGCUUUAACCUCGUUUUAAUCGAGUUGCCUAAAAAUUUCUUGAACACAACAAAAAGCAGCAUGUUUUGGGAUCUGAUCAUUUCACUCUGCACAAUUAGUGUUUAAACUGAUGUUUUUUUUUUAGGUUUUUAUUGAAAUAAAAAAUUACUUCAAGAAUAAAUGGAUUACUUUCAUGGUUAUGUCAUAGAACAAAAGUGAUGCUUAAAGUGGUGUUCUCAAUUUUUGGCAAAAACCUACAAUAAAAUUAUUUAUCUUCUAAUCUGCAGCACAGACGUAAAGCAAGAAAUGGUUCCUGAUUCUAUAAACAAAUCAAUCAGCAUUUUUAGGAGUUCUUACUUGAAGGAUGCUAGUUCCUUGGGGGACAGUUUCCAGGAUGCUGGUCUCGUAGCUGUUUUGCAGAAAAAAUUGGUCUGUUGUCAUUGACGUCCAAAACUUCAACAAAUACCGUUGCAGUUCCUGUUCUCCUGCCGCCUGCCGGGCCAUUGUCUGUGUGGACAUUUACAAAGCAAUCAGACAUAAAGAUUACGACCACUAGAACAACAAUCACAUUUUUUUUACUACAAACUUAAAGACCCACUCUAAUGAAAACUGUGUUUUUAAUGUUAUUGUGUCAUGUUCUGGUUUAGGUUGUUUUCUUUUUUUGCUUUUGUGCAGGCUGUUCUGACUCCGCCCAUUCUCCUGUGGUUCCUGCUAAGCAGUCACAGCUGUCAGCACUUCAGCAAUCAGGCUUUGUGUAUUUAUGACACUCUGCUGCAGUCCUCAGUGUCGGCUCGUUUUGUUUUCCAGGCCUGUUGUCUUGGUCCUAUGAAUUUUGUCUAAUCUAUAUUAAAGGC
rnacentral:lncRNA from 1 species